UUUUUCUCGUUACAUCUCGUUACUAAUUUUGUGUUUUCUUGUAGUAAUUAUAGUGUGAACGCAUAUUACAAUGUGUUUCUUUUAAUACAUAAGGGAUAAUAAAAAAAAAAAUUGGUCAAAUAAGGAAUAAAAUAAAAAUUGCAUGCCUCUGAGUGUGUGUGACAGAACUGGUAUUCAUUUUAAUUUUGUAUCGUUACACAGUUUUGUGUUCUGAACCCGUUAACGCCCGGUCGCAUUUCCAAUGCAUUUCCCAUUUCGAAAAGUUAAUUGGUUAUUUAUGCAAGGGCACAUAAUGGAUCCUCAAUAAACAAUCGUACAUAUUCAAAUACUAAUGAAAAAUGGAAGUCCAAAAAUAUUACUGUCUUAACUUUUGUUACAUUCCAAGUUUAUAUCAUCCUAUUUUCUAUUCAAAUCUUAUUAUAUAAAAAAGACAAUUCUCUUUGACAAAAAAAAAAAAAAAAAAGACAAUUCUCUUACUCUAAGCCUUCCACGUCAGAAAAUAGUGAAUACACAUGAUGACACGUGUCUCUCUCUAAGAAAGACUUUACAAACGUUCCAAAUUGUUGGGUUCUUACGGUUUACAUUGGGAUUGGACUUGAAUAUGAUAAAAAAAUUAGUCAACUCAAUCGUCACACAUUUCUUCUUCCCGUAUGGCGACCAAUGAACCUAGGGUUCAUCGUAUUCUCCAUUGUGUUACUAACCAGAGAGACAAUGAUGUAUUCAACAGUGUUUUGUGAGAAUAAGUGUGAUGAUGAUUCCCUGGAUCAAGCUGACUUUUAGUGUCAUUUCGUCUCUGUUUCAUCUCCCCGGAACAGUUACAUAAUGAAUUUAUUCAUAGCCAUUAAUGAUGUUCUUAAUUCCUUCAACCACUGCAACCACAAUUUCUCAUUCAUUGCAUCUUCCUUCUCUUCAAUGCGGCGCAUCUCCAACUAUAAAAAGUAAGCUUACAUACAGUAAACAUCGUCCUCACAAAUCCAAAUAACAGUUGAAUUUUUUUCUCAAAAGGAUGACGUUGAUUUGAAGACUGGGUUGUGCUUCCACGGUUGAGAUCCUACUUCCAAGGUUCUGGGAAUCAAUAAACUUGAAACACCGUUGCGAGCUUAUGGGUGUGGACAUGUUCCUCUUCGACGCUAAGGUUAUUCCGUUCUUAAAACUCAUCAUCAGAGUUUUGAAACAAAAAUCCAGUGUCUAAUCCCAUAAUUUUCAUACUUUUGUUUCCAAAUCUUUAUUUUAACUUUCUGCAGUGAAGUGAUUUUGGACCAUAAUAGUAAUGCACAAGCUACAGAGUAACUAUAAGAUUUGUCAAUGAAUAUAAACCCUUUACUAACGUUUCAUUUUAUUUUCUGAGUUUUCUUGGAUUUGGUUUUGUUUGCUUUAGGAAAGCUCAUUGUGCAAGCCAAAAGGGGAGAAGAAAGCUGGUGCUUAUUAUGGCUCAAAUUCUGCGCAGGAGAUAGUGUCUCAAGAUCCAUGGCAGGAUUUUACAGAUAUAUCCCAUGUGACUGGUAGACAGGUUUCGUUUCCAUUCAUUCAAAGAAUUUGAAACAAAUUGUGAUCUCAGAGAUUUUGAUUCGUAAGAUGAGUAAAUCACAAUGGAUAUGUUUCAAAAUGAAUUGGAGAAAUCAAACGCCGCUGGCCUGAAUGAUCAAAAGGCCAACCUUGAAGCUAGGUGCAGAAAGGCAUAAGUGGCACAAGUGCGGCGGUGUACAUCCUCAUAAGAAUCUAAAGAGCGGGCCAAGUCACAUUUUCUUCAUAAAGUUUUGAUAGUUUUUUUUAUUGGUGAAUGGAUGAGUGGGCGAGGAUUUUGGGUUCCUAAAAUUUUAGAAUGUUAAAUCAUUCAAAUUUAUGUAAUGUUGCCGUAACUCUGGGAUGUCAAUGGGUUUUAAUGUUAAAUAAUAUGCAUUAUGCCUUUAGUUU